CCUUUCUAAGAGACUUCUCUUAAGUGGUCCCGACGCAAAAAAGAACAUACAAGACCGACUCUUUCGACCCCGCCGCUAUCGUAGAUACGUUCUAUUACAUCGAUAAGAAUGAGUAGUGGCCUUCGCGGCCGCGACUUAUAUGUUCUUUAUGUCUUUCCCUCACUCACGUUUUCUCAAGGAGGAGGACGGUGGAAGUCUGAUCAGUUGAGGAGAGAGGGAGAGAGGACUCUACAGGUCUGAAUGAUCGUGACGAGAGAACGU
rnacentral:lncRNA from 1 species